ensembl:lncRNA
AUCAUUUGGAAUUAGGAAGUUGCUUGUGGCGUGCAUGAAAUGUUUUUGCUGGAUUUGGUUUCUGCUUGAUAGGCAAGGGAACAAGCAACAUCCACGCGAUUGCAACCUGUGUUUGUGUUUGGAUCCUAGCAUAACAAAACUUGGUGCUUAUAGACAUUUAGCUUUUACGGCCAACCACUAAUAAGACAGAUUGUGAUUUAAAACUUAUAUCCCCUGUCCAGAAUGAAAGCUGAACGAGAUAGGAUUUGACAACUUAUAUUGAAAAAUUAAGAUUUACUAACUCCUCUGACACAUGGACUUGCAGAUGGAGCAAUCUCUCCACUGUGGCAGUUAAAGCCUCCGAAUGGAUUACACAUGUCUGGUUAGAAGAACUCUCAACAGUUUUGCAAGGAUCCUUUACUUCAAAGGGGACAAAAGGAAGAAGAAAUGAGAGCAACCGAACAUGGCCUUCAUGUGGAUCAGCUCCUAGUAACAGAAGCAAUGUGGGAUUGCUGAACUGUCAGUGGCCUAAGCAACAACACUAGCUCAUAGAAAAACUCGAGUCGUAUAGUGGAAAAUAAAUACAAAAACUGCUAAGAUGCUGUCAAUGAGCAGGAGCAGAGCUUUUGUUUAGACAGAGAAGGGAACUGCAGAGAAAACCAGCUUUUUUAACCUGAAUAUGCAGCGCUUCUUGCACAUGGAGAGGGGAAGCAGAGACUGGGAACAAGUCUGAAGUGGAGCCACACAAUGCCUGGUGUCAAAGCAAGAAGUGGGGUGGAUCUCCGCAAAAAGCGAGACCUGAGUUGAUGACAGAGCCUCUGACAAGAAAGGUAGCAAAGAAAUCACAGAAAUAUUCAGAGAAACUUCUAGCUUGCACAAAUUCACAGGAAAGAUCAACUGUCCAUUGGCAAAAGUAUAUAUAAUUAUGGCACUAAAAUGAAGUUGUUUUAAUCUUCACAAUAAUUAUCAACAUGUACAGCAGCUACUAUAAGAAAAAUAAUUGCUAACAUAAGAAAGGAACAGCUUGUUCACUUUUUUUUUUUUUUUCCUCUUGAAUAACAUUUUGCUAUUUGCCUGUUGCCCAAAAACUUGUUUGGGAUCAUUAAAUAUAUAAGGGGAUCAGAUAUCUAUAUUUUACCUUUAUGUCAAAUAUUUACAUGUCAUACGUAGGACCUCACCAAGGAGUUGUUGUGAUUAGUUGCCAAGAAGCAUCAAGAAUCAAAUACAAUUGUUAAUGUUUAAGGGUUUUCCUGUUUAUUUCUACAAACAUACAGGAUAAACACUGUCAGCUCAAAGUAAACUAUAGAGUACACUUCUUUUUUUUCCAAAACUAAUACCCUAUAAAAGCCUCGAAUAGUUGAAAACUACAUUUAAACCAAUUCAUUGUGGUGACUAGUACCAUGUGUGAAGACUCAAAGAAGUUUCACAACCCAAAGACUCUGCUAACUAGUUAAAAUUAUCAUUAAAAAGUUACCCAUGGUUUUGACCUAAGAUGAUGAAGAUCAUCCUAAAACACAUCAAGAAAAGUUGUCAACAUUUGGGUCUGAUCAACAUAAAUAAAACAGAUACAGGAUAUAUUUUUAAGAAACAAGACCUUCAGCUUAUAUUAAAUAAAAAAAGGAAAGAAAGGAAAGCAACACGUGUACAGUAUCAUAAAAUCUAAGCCAUCGCACCAGGGAUUAAAUUUUGAGUGACAUUCAAAAGAUUUUCAUUAAAGCAUCCAUUUGUUUCAGUCAUUUGAGAACUAUUUAGUCACUUAACUCUCCCAGCUGAAUUUUUUUUGAAUGCCAAUUGACAGAGGAAAUUCAUUCCAACUAAAGAUAAAUCCCUACUUUCUCUGCCAAGAGUUUUCUUGCCAUCGACAAUUAUUGGUCUAGAGGGGACUUUUUCCUUCUUCUGGAAAUUCAGCUCCUUCUAAGAAACCUAUGUAAAAUUAAGUACUUCAUUAAACUGACAAUCUGGUAAGUCUACCUUGGUGCUUUGUUUCUUCUAAAGCAAAGCUAAAGAACAUAUGAAAUGGAGGAAAAAUUCAUAUAUAGAGCUCCGUAAAUAAUUUGCUUUAUUUUCUAUUCAGUAGCUAGAAUGGUAAAAUGGGAGAAAAGAAUAAAAGAAAAAAAUGAUUUAUGUC